GAUGCGGUUUUUUCCUUUGGGAUGAUGGAUCAAUAGGAUGGCCUCUACAGGAGAACCAGUGGGUAUCAGUGGUGCUAGAAUACACUGAGAAGGGAAAUAGCUGAGCUUGACAAGAGGCCUUGCUUUUCAGAUGGCAGAACAUGCUGAGCUGUGGGUAGAAAGGCCUGUCUGCUGAAUAUUGUCCCUGUUUUUGCUGCUUUGUCUACCAGUAUUUUGUGGAUUUGGUUCUACGCUUGGUUGGCCUAUGUGGCACUGUAGACUGAUUCUAUACCAUGAUACCAUACAGAAUUUAAGGAGAAGUAUUUUCUUGCCAAUGGGCUGCAGUUUUUGUAUCUGGUUCUUCAACUGACUGCUCCCUAUACUAUCUGUAGUAAAAAUAUAGACACCUCAUUUGAUUUACCAGAAAUGAAUUUUCCUAAAUGUCAGCUCUUCUCAUGUCUACGAAGAGCAAAGUUCUGCAUUUGCUAUUAGAAUUUCCUCUUCCAGAAUCAGGAGGUAAUGUAGGACCCCACAGAUUGCCUUCAGAAUUCAACACUUAGUUCUGUUUCCUUUCGGAGUGCAUAACAACCUGAGCACAUGAAUUGAAUGACGUGGCUUUUUAGUCUGGUACAAACUCUGCUGUACACUGAAACUUGGUCCAUUUGUAAGCAGGACUUUGUCCAUCUCUGCAGGACAGCAGAAAACCCUUUGUGCUAAUCAUGAUGCCAAGAAGCAGAAUGCAGCAAAUGGCAGAUGAUCCAACUGCUUCAGCUGGGACACCUUGAUGAAGACUGUGUAACAGAGCUUUCUGUGUUUCACAACAAGAGAAAAGAGAGUAGAUCAGCAUUAACGUCAGAGCCUUUUUGUUAUUUUUUUACCAUGCUGAAAUCCUUAUGAAUCUCUGGAAGUCCAGGCAGACUCAAAACAGAAACUGAUGGAUGAACAGCAGAUGUCACAUGCUGGCUUAACUCCCUGCUUUGAAAUGUUUCACUAUAGGUGGAAAAUAUCAACAACAUCAGGUAAGACAACCAAGCAAAUUUGGGGAAUUACAGUUCACAAAUACUUCAGGA
rnacentral:lncRNA from 1 species